rnacentral:rRNA from 1 species
AUGCAUGCGUGUGGGCUGCGGCAAGGGGAAUCCCUCUCCCCAAUGUUGUUCGUUAUUGCGAUGGAUGUUUUGACAGCGAUUGUGGUGAAGGCUCAUGACUCUCAAGUCCUAAGUAAGAUGAACUGCUGCAGCCCAUUGCAACGUCUAUCUCUUUAUGCGGACGAUGUGGUGAUGUUUAUCAAACCCUCAAGGACAGGCAUUAGAUUGGUGGAGGAGGUCCUGCAGAUCUUUGGUGAAGCUUCUGGACUCAAAAUCAACUUUGCGAAAUCCUCGGCCAUUCUGAUCAGGGCCGAGGAGGGAUAUGAAGAACUAGUAAGAAGUGCAAUGCCCUGGAAGAUUGACCGGUUCCCGUGCAAAUACUUAGGUUUGCAGCUGAGUAUCAAGCAAUUAAAGAGGUCUGAAUGGCAACCGAUGGUGGACGCUGCAAUCAAAAUUUUGCCGGGCUGGCAAAGGGGAAUGAUCACUAGACCGGGCAGGCUCAUACUGGUCAACCAAGUGAUGCGUGCAAGACCCACACACCACCUGAUUGUUUCGGAAGCACCUAAGUGGGCAUUGGACAAGGUAGACAAGGGUUGCAGAGCCUUCUUCUGGGCGGGCUUGGAGGAAGUCAGCGCAGGCAAGUGCGUGGUAUCUUGGCAGAGAGUAUGCAAACCAAAAUACCUUGGAGGACUAGGAGUGAUGGACUUGGGCAAACACGGCCUUGCGCUUCGCUUGCGGUGGGAAUGGUUAAGAAGAACAGAUAGCUCACGGCCGUGGCAGGGACUCAACUUGACGCCAGAUCGAAAUUUACAGCAGGCGUUCAACAGUUUAGUCAAGUGGAAGCUAGGAGAUGGAGCUCAGAUUCUGUUCUGGAAGGACAGAUGGAUCAAUGGUGCAUGCAUUGCGGAGGUGGCACCCUUGAUCGUGCUCAAAGUCAAGACCCAAGUGAGGAACAGAAGAGUGGUGCAGGAGGGUUUGCUAUCCCAUGCUUGGACUAUGGAUAUCACAGGUGAGAUGUCCACAGAUGAAUUGGCACAAUUCAUCCGGCUAUGGGAAGUGCUGAUUGAGGUACAUCCAAUCCCGGAUCAGGAGGAUAUGGCUGUUUGGGAGUGGUGUGUGGACCGAAAAUACACAGCAGCCUCGGCAUACAAAAUGUUCUGUGAGGGAGGGAUCCGGUUCCAGUCGUAUAGAGGCAUAUGGAAGAGUUGGGCUCUGCUAUCUUGCAAGAUAUUUAUGUGGUUGGCAGUUCAGUACCGAGUCUGGACUUCGGAUAGAAGACUCAGACAUGGCCUGCAGGAGGAAACCUCACCGUGCUAUUUUUGCGACCAAGAGGAAGAUACGGUGGAUCACUUGCUGCUGCAAUGCGUGUUCGCGAGGCACGUGUGGUAUCUAUGCUUUGCUAAAGUUGGGGUGGAGCUGGCACUCUUACCCUCGGUGCAGUCCAGGCUGGAAGAGUGGUGGGAGACGAUAAGGAAGCGGAUUACCAAAGCUAACAGGAAAGGUUUUGACUCCUUCGUCAUGAUGAUCUGUUGGACACUUUGGAAGCAGCGAAAUGCACGAGUAUUCAGAAAUGCGAAUGUGAGGGAUGCUCGGGGUACUAUGGCAAUCAUCUUUCAAGAGUUGAAGUUGUGGGAAUUGGCAGGAGGCUCGGGAGUGUCUACGUUUUGUGAGUAA